rnacentral:rRNA from 1 species
CUAACUAUGUGCCAGCAGCUGCGGUAAUACAUGGGGGGCAAGCGUUAUCCGGAUUUAUUGGGCGUAAAGGGUGUGUAGGCGGUUUAAUAAGUCUAUGGUAUAAGUUCAACGCUUAACGUUGUGAUGCUAUGGAAACUGUUUGACUAGAGUUGGAUAGAGGCAAGUGGAAUUCCAUGUGUAGCGGUAAAAUGCGUAAAUAUAUGGAGGAACACCAGUAGCGAAGGCGGCUUGCUGGGUCUUAACUGACGCUGAGGCACGAAAGCGUGGGGAGCAAACAGGAUUAGAUACCCUGGUAGUCCACGCCGUAAACGAUGAGUACUAAGUGUUGGGUUAAACCAGUGCUGAAGUUAACACAUUAAGUACUCCGCCUGAGUAGUACGUACGCAAGUAUGAAACUUAAAGGAAUUGACGGGACUCCGCACAAGCGGUGGAUCAUGUUGUUUAAUUCGAAGAUACACGAAAAACCUUACCAGGUCUUGACAUACUCUGCAAAGCUAUAGAAAUAUAGUGGAGGUUAUCAGGGAUACAGGUGGUGCAUGGUUGUCGUCAGCUCGUGUCGUGAGAUGUUGGGUUAAGUCCCGCAACGAGCGCAACCCUUAUCGCUAGUUACCAUCAUUUAGUUGGGCACUUUAGUGAGACUGCCAAUGAUAAAUUGGAGGAAGGUGGGGAUUACGUCAAAUCAUCAUGCCCCUUAUGACCUGGGCUACAAACGUGAUACAAUGGCUGUUACAAAGAGUAGCUGAAGCGUGAGUUUUUAGCAAAUCUCAAAAAAACAGUCUCAGUUCGGAUUGAAGUCUGCAACUCGACUUCAUGAAGUCGGAAUCGCUAGUAAUCGCGAAUCAGCAUGUCGUGGUGAAUACGUUCUCGGGGUUUGUACACACCGCCCGUCAAACCAUGAAAGUU